rnacentral:rRNA from 1 species
AUACGGAGGGUGCAAGCGUUACUCGGAAUCACUGGGCGUAAAGCGCGCGCAGGCGGCUUGAUAAGUUGGAUGUGAAAGCCUACGGCUCAACCGUAGAACUGCAUCCAAAACUGUCAGGCUAGAGUGUGGGAGAGGAAGAUGGAAUUAGUUGUGUAGGGGUAAAAUCCGUAGAGAUAACUAGGGAUACCAAAAGCGAAGGCAAUCUUCUGGAACACUACUGACGCUGAGGCGCGAAGGCGUGGGGAGCAAACAGGAUUAGAAACCCUGGUAGUCC